UGCUUGGACUGCUUUUUUUCUUCUGCAUGUUGAUCCAUGUACAUGUUUGCUCUAACACUUACUAAAUCCCAUUUUGACCACUCUGUGUAACAGGAGCUGAGAGCCAACCGUGGUACAUAUUGCACAGACAAGCCCAGCAGUAGUUUUGUUCUAUAGGGCUUUCCAGGCCUAUUGUUUGGAGUAUUCCCUAUAGUCUGUGUUCCUUAAUGUGUAGGUUUCAUGUCCAGAGCUCAGAUGGGUUAUCAGUGUUUCUGUGCAAGAUUAGAUUUAUCCUUCUAUUGUUGCAGUUCUUUUCCUACUUGCAGGCCGCUCCCCUGCUUUUUACUGAGUGCUGGCUCUGCAGGCAGUUGUUAUUUCAGAAUUGUUAAUUGUGUCUGCCAACUCCCACAUAGCUCCUAGAGCCUAACCUUGUGUGGGGUAACACUGUAUUUUCUGUUGCCUCGCCAUCAAAUGAGGUCCUGUCUCUCCCAGAGUGACAUGUAGACUAGUCCAUUCUCUCUUGUUCUGUUUUCUCUAGAGGGAUUUAUGGCAGUGAGCUCUUACACCUGGAGCUAAAAAUUCAAGACUGGGCAUGUAGACUGUGGUAUCUCAUAUCCACUCUGGAAUGGGCAGAGAGGGGAAACUAUUACGUAAUCGUGAGCAGAUUAUAUCUAAACAUUAAGCAUGUGAAUAGAUUCUUGGAGCCCAGGGAUUACUUAGUAAUUUUUUUUUCCUUCUUAAUCAGGGAAUAUAUGGUUUUCCCAAGUCUGCAUGUAGAAGGGCGAACUGCCAGAACAUCCGUACUUGUUUUGGACAAGAGAUUAAAGGUGCUGCAGAGACACUCAACUGCUGACCUGGGUGCUGGGAGCAGACCAUCUCCUUCAGCACGGCGCCUGCUCCUGGUGGCCUGGCUGCCCGGCUGCAGGGCAGAGCCACUUAGCCUGGGUGGAGCACCUUGAUGACGCACCUAUACAGCAUCUUGUUUUGGAGUUAGCCUGGUAGGAGUGCAACACCGAGCUCUGCAGUCAUAUCCUACAUUUAACUAUAGCUUUAUAUGCGUAAUAAAGCUGGUAGCUAAACCA
rnacentral:lncRNA from 1 species